rnacentral:rRNA from 1 species
AGAGCGAACGCUGGCGGCAGGCUUAACACAUGCAAGUCGAGCGGAUGUAGCAAUACAUCAGCGGCAGACGGGUGAGUAACACGUGGGAACGUACCUUUGGUUCGGAACAACACAGGGAAACUUGUGCUAAUACCGGAUAAGCCCUUACGGGGAAAGAUUUAUCGCCGAAAGAUCGGCCCGCGUCUGAUUAGCUAGUUGGUGAGGUAAUGGCUCACCAAGGCGACGAUCAGUAGCUGGUCUGAGAGGAUGAUCAGCCACAUUGGGACUGAGACACGGCCCAAACUCCUACGGGAGGCAGCAGCGGGGAAUAUUGGACAAUGGGCGCAAGCCUGAUCCAGCCAUGCCGCGUGAGUGAUGAAGGCCCUAGGGUGUAAAGCUCUUUGUGCGGGAAGAUAAUGACGGUACCGCAAGAAUAAGCCCGGCUAACUUCGUGCCAGCAGCCGC